rnacentral:rRNA from 1 species
AGUCCUACGGGAGGCAGCAGUGGGGAAUAUUGCACAAUGGGGGGAACCCUGAUGCAGCGACGCCGCGUGAGUGAAGAAGUAUUUCGGUAUGUAAAGCUCUGUCAGCAGGGAAGAAGAAAGACGGUACCUGACCAAGAAGCCCCGGCUAACUACGUGCCAGCAGCCGCGGUAAUACGUAGGGGGCAAGCGUUAUCCGGAUUUACUGGGUGUAAAGGGCGUGUAGGCGGGCAUGCAAGCCAGAAGUGAAAUCUGGGGGCUUAACCCCCAAACUGCUUUUGGAACUGCGUGUCUUGAGUGAUGGGGAG